rnacentral:rRNA from 1 species
GACGUAGGGGGCCAGCGUUGCUCGGAAUUACUGGGCGUAAAGGGUUCGUAGGCGGUGCGGCAAGUCGGGAGUGAAAUCUCUGGGCUUAACUCAGGGGCUGCUUCCGAAACUGCCGUGCUUGAGUGCGGGAGAGGCGAGUGGAAUUGCAGGUGUAGCGGUGAAAUGCGUAGAUAUCAGGAGGAACACCAAUGGCGAAGGCAGCUCGCUGGGACGGUACUGACGCUGAGGCGCGAAAGCUAGGGGAGCAAACAGG